ACAACAAGUCGGAUUUUCGGAUUUAUGAUGUAUAGCAUGCAUUACCUCUCAGUCUUCUUAGUUGCUACACCCUGGGAAAGACCUCGCGUUCUCGCGUCUUGCUUCAAUAAACGCCCGUCGAUAAACUCGCGGCCGCUUAUCUGCAACAGUAAUUUUUGUCGACAAGUUUAGGGAAAUCCCCUUCACAAAGCCUACAUAUAAAGAGCAAGCGAUUGAACGGACAGCAGAUCAGUAAAGCAGAGGGUAAAACGUAUGUACAGAGCCGACAAUGGGGAAUUAUGUGUCAUGCUGGUCCGGAUUUGGGUAUCGGAGACUUCACCAGCCACACACCCAGAUGAUCCGUUCAUAUAAUCCAUUGGUCACAUUGACAGGCCCUGUAAAUGAGGAAAGACUGAGAAUCCCUGUUUCUCAGAAAGGUGUCAGCUUGGUGGCAAAUCAUAUUGGGAUCGGG